AGACCUGGAAUCUCGCGGAAUAGUGAAGAAGGGGAAGUCUUGCACAACUCAGGCCGAAUGUGGUUUUCCACAGUAUUAUUGUGCUAAACGUGUCCGUUUCUCUCCGGGCGUUUGCAGAGAGCUCAUUGGUAAAAGACGCUAGGAAUUCUGAAAAUCAACAUGAAUGAAUUAAACCAUGAUCGUCAGUGGUUAACCGACAGCACGG